GGAGUUGGUGGCUCAGUGGUAGAGUGCAUGCUUUUGUAUGUAUGAUGUCCUGGGUUCAAUCCAAAGCUUCACCCCA